UGCCCGCAUUUGUGCUCCCCCACCUACCCACAUUUCUGCUCCCCCCACCUGUCUGUAUUUGUGCUUCCCCGACUCAAAGUUGGCCAACAUCUUCUCGGGGUCCUCGGCCUCGUCGGUGUCGGGUUUUUGGUUGGUGACAGGCAUGUGCUCCAGGAUCUUCUGCACGUCGGGCUCGAAGCCCAUAUCGAUCAUGCGAUCCGCCUCGUCCAGCACCACGUAGGUGCAGCGGCUCAGCACCAGGUAGCGAUUCUCCAGCACGUCGAUGAGACGCCCGGGAGUGGCGAUGACGAUCUGGGGGAGGGAGAAACGGCAUCGGUGGUGAACCGGGCCAUACUGGGAGCCGUGGGUGCCCCAGUAACACAGCACAGGGCCUCGCGGGGCCGCAGCCUCACCUCGCAGCCCAUCCGCAGGCGGAAGCCUUGGUCCUCACGGGAGAUUCCUCCGAUCACAGCCACCGUGCGGAUGCCCAGAGGCUUCCCAAACUUGAUGGUUUCCUCCUCGAUCUGCUGGGCCAGCUCUCGGGUGGGAGCCAGGAUGAUGGCGUAGGGCCCCUGGUCCGACUCCUCGAUGCUGUCGAUUUUGGGCAGGGUGGUGAUCCACACCAGCAGCGGGAUGAGGAAUGCUGCUGUUUUACCGCUGCCGGUCUCAGCCACGCCGAUGAUGUCACGGUUCUGCAGGCCGAUGGGGAUGGCCUGCCGCUGGAUGGGAGUGGGUUCCUGGGGAGGAGAGCGGCGGGUUUUGCCAGCAGAACAACCCCACAUCCCCCCCAAAAACAACCCAGGAGCGCUGAUCCCAAGAAGCAGCCCUCUUCCUCCCACCAAGCUCACAUCAAGACCACACAGAGUCCCCCAAAAACAGCCCCUGAGCUCACCUUGUAGCCGCACUUAUCGAUGACCUCCAGGAUGUGGGGCGGCAGGGACGAAUCCUUCCAGGAGCGGAUGGGGUUGGGGAUUUUGCCCCCUUUGGUGGUGAUGCUGUAAUCCUCCCGGAAAAUGCGCCAGUCUCUGUCUGUCAUUUCAUCCAGCUUCUUCUGCGACCAGUGCCGGUCGUCCCAGCGCUGCUUGGCCUCCUUCUUCCGCAGCUUCCGCAGCCGGGCCCUGGGAGGGGGCAAAAAGGACACAGGACUCACCCCACGCCUCUGAGGACAGCAGAUUUGUCUCUCCAGCUACAGGAUGGCAGCCCCGUGCCCCCCCACAAGCACACUCACUCCUCCUGCUCCUUCUCCUCUAACGUCCUCCUCUUUUCCAUCAGGUCCCCAUAGAAGCGUGACUGCUCCCGUUUCUGCUGCUUCAGGUCGAUCCCUGCGAUGAAGCCCCGUCCCAACAGCUGCACCUGGUGCCUCUCUUUGUACCUGGAGCAGGGCAGGAGCGUCAGGGGCAGCCGUGGGGCUGCCCAGCCCCCUCAGGAGCACCCCCAGGCACCCACAGCGGGUUGUAGUCGAUGGAGGUGUCCUCUGAUGCGUCCCACUCGAAGACAAACUUGCGGUCGUUCAGGUGCCGCGUGCGCCUCCGCUUCUUCACCCCUCCCAGGUAACGCUCCUGCAGGCAGCACAGCAUCAGCAGGGAAGGAACCCAGGGGUCCCGGCCAUCCCAGCCCCCCCGCCCGGCUGCCAGCAGUACCUUGAUGGCGUGGAGCUCUUUGCUCUUAUCUUUCUCCUCUCGGAUCUUCUGCCUGCCCUCCUCGUCCUCGGUGCCGUUGGUUUCCCUCUCCAUGCGCUCCCGGCGCUCCCUGCGCUCACGCUCCUGGGGGUCUUCUGGGAACAGGGGGAGAACCUCAGAGCUCAGCACUCCCCAGCACAGCCGGGGGGUCUUAGGGGCCAGGCGGGCAGCACGGCAGGGAUGACAGCGCACCUAGCAUCUUCCUCCCCAUCUCCUGGAACUGCUUCCUCUUCUUCCUCUCCUCCUCCAGCAGCCGCUGCCGCUCCUCCACCUCCUGCUGCCGCCGCCGCAGCGCCUCGGCCUCCCGCUCAGCCUUGGAGAGGAACUUGGGCUGCCAGAGGAGAGAAAGGCUCACAGCACGACUGGCCACGGCCACUUAUUGCUGGGACCACCCCGGGAUAGGACCCCCCCCGACGCCCAUCUGGGCACCGCUGUCACAAGCUGGGACUGCGCAGGAAGGGAGAACUCCCACCCCCCUUCCCACCUUCGCUUCUGCCUCCUCCUCGGCCUUCUUCUUCGCCAGCAGCUCCUCCAAGGACAGGGGCUGUGCCUGCAGACACAGGGCUGUGCUGUGACGCUUCUCCUCGCCCCGAGAGCCGCUCUCAAACCAAACCCCACUCCUCACCUUCUCCUUUUUCAGCGCAUUCUCCUCUUCCUCCUCUGCCUUCCGUGAGUCCCUCUCCUUGCGGGACUUGGAGUCCUUACCCCUGCUUGGGGACAAGCUUCCCCAACAAAACAAAAGGCAAUCAGGGACCGAACAGAGCCCCAAAUCCAAAGCCCGAAGCCCUAAAGCCCCCAAACCCAGAGCCCCGACCCCCUCCCCCACUCUCCACUGGUUGAAGCCCCCUCUGCCGGAACCCAGAUGCGCCCCAUUGGGCCGCACAGCAGCCAACCCGACUGGAAAUCCUCUCACCUGGAUCGCUUCCUGUCCUUGUCCCUCCGGUGCCCAUCCUUUUCCUUCUCCUUCUCCCUCUCCCGGUCCUUCUUCCCCCGGUCCCGCUCGCGCUCUUUGUGCCGCCGCUCCCUGAGAAACGGAAAAAUCGCCCCAAAUGGGAACAGCCGUCCUACAAAGACGUUCCUUCCCCCUUCCCACCCCCGGUAACCCAACGGCGCUCACCUGUCCAAGGACUUGGAACGGGACCGGGAGCGGGACCGGCUGCCCCUCCUCCUGUCCCGGGAGCGGUGCCGCUUCCUGUCCUUGCUU
rnacentral:lncRNA from 1 species